rnacentral:rRNA from 1 species
AUGUAAUGUAAUGCCUACAACGUUAAUGCAUCGGAUCCCAUUAGAAAUUUGCAGCUAAGAGCGCUUGGGUUAGAGUAGUACUGGGAUGGGUGACCUCCUAGGAAAUACUAGUGUUUUAAAUG